rnacentral:lncRNA from 1 species
GCCGUUGCCGGGGAUUAUUUAAAAUAAUUCCUACGAAUCAGAUUUUCAAUUAGUUAUUGCUGUUUAUACAUAUUAAAAAAAAGAAAAAAAAUUAAUUUUCGAUUUUUUUUUAUUUUUACAGAUUACAACAGUACAGAUUUCAGAAACUGUGCAUGGUCAGCACCCGUUCAACAGUGCAGAAAUUGAUUCCAUUUGAUCCAGAAUUUGAGCAGCAUUUAAGGAGGAAACGCAGGGAGAAAAAUUUGCAGCGGGUUCGUCCUCUGCAGGAGACUUUUCGGCAAUCAGACUUUGACCUGCACAACAAAGAAAAAAUGGCGUUUGUAAUUCCAGAGGCAGGUCUGCCCCUGGGUGAUUCACUGACAGCCCAUACAACAAAUAUACCCAGUUGCAUUACAUAUCCGGCAGUGGAAGAAGGGACUGCAUUUGAAAUAAAACAGCACAUGUUGAAUAUUCUACCUACGUUUCAUGGGUUUUCAUCUGAUGAUCCUAACAUGCACAUUGCAGAAUUUUUAAUGGGGUGCAAAAACAUUUUGGUGAGGGGAUUUUCGGCUGAAUCUAUUAAGUUGCGGUUAUUUCCAUACACUCUAAAGGAUCAGGCAAGGAGAUGGCUCCUCACACUCCCAUCUGGAAGCAUUACAACUUGGGCCCAACUCAGUGAAAAAUUUCUAAACAAGUAUUAUCCAGCUUCUAAGACUCUUGACAUGAGAACUCAGAUUUUAUCUUUUGCCCAAAAACCAAACGAAGAGUUUCAUGAGGCGUGGGAGCGGUUUAAAGAGUUGAUUAGAAAAUGUCCGCAUUCGGGUAUUAGCACAACUGAUCAAAUGCAUAUAUUUUUCAGAGGGUUGAAUAUGACUACAAAAACUCUUGUCAACGCUUCUUGCGGAGGUACGUACAAAGACAAAAAUGCACAAGAGGCUUGUUUGUUAUUUGAAAAAAUGGCAGAAGAUACUCAGCAGUGGGCAGUGGAGCAGCCACAAUCUAGGUCAGCUUUUGAGAUGUCUACUGGUUCUCCCUAUGUUACAGCACAAAUUGAAAAAAUGGAGAAAAGGCUUGACGCGAAAUUUGACAUGUUAUUACAGAGAAUGCCAGGUUCUCAAGUUGCUGUACAGCAGCCUUUACAAGCUGCCUGCAGCAUUUGCAACAUGAUAACUCACGAUUUUAUGAGCUGCCCACAUAAAGAGGUUUCACCAGAAUUUACAGCAGAGCAGGUUAAUGCAUUUAACAAUUUUCCAGCGUCCCCGAUAUGACCCAUAUUCUAAUUUCUACAACCCAGGUUGGAGAGAUCAUCCUAAUCUAAGGUGGGAUAAGGAACAGCACACUAGACCUCAAUUUCAACAGCAGGUACAGCAACCUGCUGCACCUAAGGCUGCCUGGGAGGUUGCGAUUGAAAAAUUGGCAAAUACUACCACUCAAGAAAUUCAAAAUCUGCAGGCAUCAGUGAAAAACAUGGAAAAACAAAUGGGGCAGAUUGCGUUGCAGGUUUCUGGAAGGGCUCCAGGUACAUUUCCCAGUCAAACCGAACCAAAUCCUAGGGGAGGUGCAGAUUGCAAGGCAGUUAGAGUUCUACGUUCCGGAAAAAGUUUUGAUAACAGGGAUGAAAAUUGCUUAAAAAAUUCGCGGGUGACUUCACAGCCAAAAACAGAUUCGGGGAAUGUUGAAAAAUCUGCCAAUUCAAAGGAUUCUGAACAGACAGUGAACAGUUCCAAAGAUGGUGCGGUUAUUGUUGAGGAUCGUGUUUAUGAACCACCUAUGCCUUAUCCCGAACGGUUGAAGCCUAAAGUUAAAGAUCAACAAUUGACAGAUUUUAUGAAGACUUUGUCUAAGGUUCAGAUUAAUCUACCGUUAAUUGAUGCUAUCAAAAACAUUCCGUCUUAUGCCAAGUUUUUGAAGGAUGUUUGCACAAAGAAAAAGAAGCUUGUGGAUUUUGAGAAAGUGAUUCUUACAGAACAGUGCAGCGCUGUUCUGCUUCACAAAUUGCCCCCAAAGAAACAAGAUCCAGGGAGUUUUACAAUUUCAUGCACAAUUGGAAGUUCUCAUUUUAAACGUGCUUUAAUUGAUUUAGGCGCUAGUAUUAACUUAAUGCCUUUUUCUGUUUUUCAGAGACUAGGACAAGGAGAAAUCAAGCCUACAUCAGUUAUUCUACAACUUGCGGACCGUUCAGUUGCUUAUCCAAGGGGUAUUAUAGAAGACCUAAUUAUUAAAGUGGAUAAUCUCUACCUUCCUGCAGAUUUUGUGAUUUUGGAUAUGGAUGAAGAUAUGCAAACACCGAUUAUUUUGGGACGUCCAUUCAUGGCUACAGCCAGAACGUUAAUUGAUGUAGAGGCUGGGACACUUACACUUAGAGUGCAAGAUCGAUCUGUUGUGUUCAGUUUAUUUGAGGCUACCAAAAGGCCAGGUGAUGUGCAUGAUUGUAUGCGUGUUGAUGUGCUUGACAGCUUAUUACAGGCUGAAAUUAUGCCACGUUUGACAUCAGAUCCAUUGUUAAAUGUAUUGCAUGGGUUUGAGAACACAAAUACAGAAGAUGAAGAGUGUUUUGAGUACGUUUCAGCUUUGGAAAGUGAUCAUUUUCAACCCCCACGUUGGAGGCCUGUUUUUGAGAGUUUGGGGGAACCCAAGAAGUUGUUGCAGCCUUCUAGGGUACAGCCACCUAAACUGGAGUUGAAGGUUCUUCCAGAACACUUGAAAUAUGCUUAUUUGGGAGCAGAUUCUUCGCUGCCAGUUAUUAUAGCUGCUGAUUUAUCAUCAACAGAAGAAGAUAAGUUGUUGCGCAUUUUAAGAAGUCAUCAAGAUGCAAUUGGCUGGACUAUAACCGACAUUAAAGGGAUCAGCCCUACAAUUUGUAUGCACAAAAUUUUGUUGGAGGAUGGAGCAAAACCUGCCAUUGAUGCUCAACGUCGGUUGAAUCCAAUUAUGAAAGAAGUUGUUCGUAAUGAAGUUAUGAAGCUUUUGGAUGCUGGGAUGAUCUAUCCCAUUUCAGAUAGUAAGUGGAUUAGUCCAACUCAAGUGGUGCCAAAGCGUUCUGGUAUUACAGCUGUGAAAAAUGAUAAUAAUGAACUUGUGCCUACUCGCUUGACUACUGGGUAGCGUAUGUGUGUUGAUUAUAGAAAGAUCAAUGCAGGAACUAGAAAAGAUCAUUUUCCAUUGCCAUUCAUUGAUCAAAUGUUGGAACGGUUGGCUGGUCGUGCUUUCUACUGUUUCUUGGAUGGCUAUUCAGGGUAUAACCAGAUUCCAGUUGCCCCUGAGGAUCAAGAAAAGACAACCUUUACUUGUCCUUUUGGGACUUUCGCAUACAGAAGAAUGCCUUUUGGGUUGUGCAAUGCGUCUGCUACGUUUCAGCGUUGCAUGAUGAGCAUAUUUACCGGGUUAGUUGAACAUGUAGUUGAGGUAUUUAUGGAUGAUUUUUCUGUUUUUGGGGAUUCUUUUGACCAAUGUUUGCAGAAUUUAUCUCUAGUUCUGGAAAGAUGCAUUAAGACCAACCUGGUUUUAAACUGGGAAAAGUGUCACUUCAUGGUUAGGCAGGGAAUUGUCUUGGGCCACUUGAUUUCUAACAGGGGUAUUGAAGUUGAUAGGGCAAAAAUUGAAGCAAUUGAAAAGAUGCCACCCCCGACAUCUGUUAAGAGUGUUCGAUCUUUUCUUGGCCAUGCCGGGUUUUAUUGACGGUUCAUCAAGGAUUUCUCCAAGAUUAGCCGACCCUUGUGUAAUUUAUUGGCUAAAGACGCUCCUUUUGUUUUUGAUGAAGCUUGUUUGGAGGCCUUCAAGAAGUUAAAGACACUCCUCACUACAGCUCCCAUUAUUGCAGCACCUAAUUGGAGCCUGCCUUUUGAACUGAUGUGUGACGCAUCAGAUUAUGCAGUGGGGGCAGUUCUUGGACAGCGAACAGAUAAACUUCCCCAAGUUAUUUAUUAUGCUAGUCGAACCCUCAAUGAUGCACAACUAAACUAUGCUACCACAGAGAAGGAAAUGUUGGCAAUUGUUUUUGCUUUGGAAAAAUUUCGAUCGUAUUUAGUUGGGGCUAAAGUGAUUGUUUAUACAGAUCAUGCAGCUUUGAAAUAUUUGUUGAAUAAAAAAGAUGCUAAGCCUCGAUUGAUUCGUUGGAUUCUUUUAUUGCAAGAGUUUGACUUAGAAAUCAGAGAUAAAAAGGGCAGUGAAAAUGUAGUGGCUGACCACUUGUCUAGAUUGAUUAUUCCCACAGCUUCAGAAGAGGAUUCCUUACCACUGAGGGAGAGUUUUCCAGAUGAACAGCUAUUUGCAGUCCAAUUCCGUACACCAUGGUUUGCUGAUAUUGUUAAUUACUUGGUUAAAGGUGUAGUGCAUCCAGAUUUAAUGGUUCAGCAGAAAAAGAAGUUUUUAUCUGAUGUGAAGCAUUAUUUCUGGGAUGAGCCAUACCUAUUUAAGUAUUGCCCAGACCAGAUUAUUCGCAGAUGUAUUCCUGAAGCCGAACAAGAAAGUGUAUUAAGGUUUGCUCAUCAUUUUGCUUGUGGAGGACAUUUUGGGCAGAAAAGAACGGCAGAAAAAAUUUUGCAAAGUGGGUUAUUUUGGCCUACACUUUUUAAAGAUGCAUAUAAUUGGUGCAAGGCUUGUGAUAGGUGUCAAAGGGUCGGCAACCAGUCCAAAAGGAAUGAGAUGCCCCAGCAAAGUAUUUUGAUUGUUGAAUUAUUUGAUGUGUGGGGUAUUGAUUUCAUGGGACCAUUUCCAUCUUCCCAUGGGAAUCAAUAUAUUUUAGUCGCUGUGGAGUAUGUUUCUAAGUGGGUCGAGGCCAUAGCAGCACCAACUAAUCAGGGAUCAGUGGUCCUGAGAUUCCUCCAAGGGGUUAUAUUUCCGCGUUUUGGAAUUCCACGCGUUAUUCUUAGUGAUGGGGGGAAGCACUUUAUUAAUAAAUCAUUUGCUAAUUUAUUGGCAAAAUAUGGGAUUAAUCAUCGUGUGGCUACACCUUAUCAUCCACAGACAUCUGGUCAAGUGGAAGUUUCAAACAGAGAAUUAAAACGCAUUUUGGAGAAAACAGUUGGUUCAACACGAAAAGAUUGGAGUUUAAAAUUAAAUGAUGCAUUGUGGGCCUACAGGACAGCUUUUAAAACUCCUAUUGGGAUGUCACCUUUUCAACUCGUUUAUGGGAAAGCAUGUCAUCUACCUAUGGAGCUUGAGCAUAAGGCAUUCUGGGCAAUUAAAGAGUUAAAUUUUUCAUAUGACUCAGCUGGGGAACAACGUAAAUUGCAGCUCAAUGAGCUGGAGGAAAUUCGUCAGGCUGCUUAUGAAAGUUCUCGCAUCUACAAGGAAAGAACUAAGGCGUUUCAUGAUAGUCAAAUUUUACGAAAAGAAUUUCAGCCAGGGCAAAAGGUGUUGCUAUUCAGUUCAAGGCUAAAGUUGUUUCCAGGGAAAUUGAAAUCUCGCUGGACUGGGCCGUAUUUGGUUACUAAAAUCUUUCCUCAUGGGGCAGUUGAAAUAUCUAAUGAGGCUCAAGGCAACACAUUCAAGGUGAAUGGUCACAGGCUGAAACCAUACGUGGAGUCACCCUUUGAUACUGCAUACGAGUCUUUGACUCUGAAGGCACCAGUGAUCUAGCCACCGGACUUCCGUAACGUCUAGCUACAGACUUAAAAUAAAGCGCUUAUUUGGGAGGCAACCCAAUUUUUUUGAACUCUUUGCUAAUUUUAAUCUUCUUUUGAUUUUCUCUUUAAUUCAAAAAAAAAAAAAAAUACAUACAUAAAAAUUAAAUACAUAAAAAUAAAAAAAAAAUCAAAAACAAAACAUGGAAGAUUGCAAUUUGUUUUAAUUUACCCAUUCAAUUUUUACUUUUAUUUUUAUUUUCAAUUUUUUUACGCAUAUUGGUUAAUUGCAGGUUGCGAACGUGGAAAAUAAAGCGUGUCCUAUGCUGGAAUCCUGCACCCAGCAGCAAGUCUAACGUUCACAUCAACCACAUCUACACUAGGCAGAAAAUUUAAAGCAGUCAGCAUAAAAAAAAAAAAUCAUUCACAGCUGCAAGUUUGGGGGAGAUUGUUGCAGAUCCAGCACAGAAACAGAAUUUAGAGCAAUUAAUUUUCUGCAGCUCAGUUUUGCGAUGCAUGGAGGAAGCACAAUUAAAUCACAGAUCCAUACACCACAGAACUGAGUACAGCUAUUAUUACCAGAUCUACAACAAUUCCACUUCCAAGGAUAUGAAAUUUUACCUCCCAGAUUCACCGAUCUGGGUUCUUAGAAGCUUGUCCCGUUUUUGUCUAUUGCAGCUGAGGUUUCGCCGUCCACUUUAUUUCCCACGGAUCUAUCAGUGACCAUAUUUCCUGAAAAGUUCACAACAAGAAGACUAAUGACAAUUUGAUUUUCAUGAUCCAGGUUAUGUAUCACUUAAAACACACAAGCUUGUGAAAGUCAUAUUUUCUUACGGUCUUAUUAGUGUUGAUAUUUGUUCAUCAGUCUCCCGCACUUCAAGUUCACUUUCAUCAUAUCAUGUUAAUCAGUAUGUUGUUCGUUCGAUUCAUGUUCAAACCCGCAUAUACAUAUGGUUUUUGUUAUCAUUUUUCUAAGUUCCAUGGACGAAAUAAAUCAUGACAUUUAACCAAGAACAGGGAUGAGUUUAUACCUUCAUAGUCGAAAGAUCAAAACCUUCAUGAUGGGCCAUGCUUUAUGUCCAGUGGAUUUUCAGUUUGAGAGUUCUUUCUCGGGUCUGUCACAGAUCUGAGUGUUGUGCACACAUACCACACCAUUAUAAUUAUAUGCAUAUGUGAUGAAGCUAUUUUUGUCAUUAACCUACGGAGUACAAGAUUUUUACCUUUUGCAGGAAACAGAUCUGCAAGGUUGUAGCUGGUUUGCGUUUUCUUUGUCAUGGCUAAACUUCCAGAUCGAGAACCUGUGCACAUAAACAAAAUACCACAUCAGUCUACACAUGCAGUGUGGAGUAUAUGAGACGCACAAAUGGACAAUGUUUACCUCUGUGGUAAGGCUGUGUUCGGAUUUUUGCAGAGGAAAGUGUGUGUGGUUGCGCGGCUAAGGGUGAGGAGGAGUAAGGAAAUGAGAGAAAAAUGUGAAAGAAGGAGAGCUUUUUUUCAUUUUAGAGAGCAAUGGGGUCUGAGAGAAGAGAGAGAGAGUUGUGAAAUAAAAAGAAAGUAGAGAGAUGAAAUGGGGUCCGAGAGAACUAAAAAAAUAAAAUAAUAGAAGGGCUUGCUGUGAAAUGGAGAGAAAGCAUUUUCAGAUCUGCAAGGAAGAGAGAGAUAUGGGCAAGUGGGUUGAUCUUAACCUUUUAGUUGGAAUCCUAAGAAGUGGUCGCACGGAUGCGCGACACGUGUCCAAUUCUGGCAUUUUUCUUGUCUGUCCGAGAACGUGGUCUUGAACUAGGCAAAGAAAGAGCCGUUUGGCUCUUGGUUUAAUCAAACGCAGAGAGUAGGAGGGCGUGGUGCUCGAGGUCAACCAGAAAAAAAAAAAAAAAAAAAAAUUCAAGUUGCACGCGGAACCUUUUCAUUUCCCAGGCCAUAUAGGAGGCCACGUCUCCUAGCUGCAUGCCAGUUGGAGAUUUUCAUUGCAUGGGUUUUGUGUGGCUUUUAUUUGGCCACACUUAUAUCAACCACAACGUCACUUCCAAAGCCAGGUAGUCUUUUUUCUUUUUCUUUGGUUCUUGUUACUACUUUUCCUUGUUAUAAUUAUUAUUUGUUAGUUUAAGUUUAUUUUAUUUUUGUCAUUUUUUUUAUUUUCGUUUCCACACCUUGAGGACAAAGUGUGAAAUAAGUUUGGGGGUGGGAAAGUAAAUUUUAGUUUUUUUUAUUAUUGUGUCCGUUUAAAAAUUUUCAUUCGUGCUAAGUUAAUAUCCAUAGAUUAUUUUAAACGUUAGAACAAAUGGACAUGGUAAAGAUUAAUCCCAUAGUAGAGUCUUUUCUAUUUAUCGUUGCUUAGACACUAAUUCAUGAAUUAUACUUUGAACUUUGCACAUCACACCAACAUGGUUUGUGGGGAGUGAGAUUGAAACACUUGCUUUUAGUCUAAGUUAUUUUUAAUUUUUGUUUUAAGUAAAGUCAGUUAUUAUUGUGAAUAAAGUAAUAAUUGUCUCACCCGAGGUUUUGCCUAGUAACCGGGCCAGUCCUGCCUAAUCAGCAGUGAUUCUCGCGUCAAACGGUAGAGUUUUGGCAUGAGGCAGGGUGGUUAGUUGGUUUCGUAGCCUUUUCAGUUCGGGUUAAUAAGUCCUUAGGGGUGUUCUACACCUAGUGCCCUAAAGCCCUAGUGGUUUGGGAGUCAUUGACCUAAAGCUCGCUACAUGGGUUGGAUUGAAAGCUUAAGUGAACCGACAUUGCACGACCACUACUGUUACUGAAAAAAAAAAAAAAAUGUUAUAUACAUGAAAAAAAAAAGAGAAAAAAAAAAUUGAAAAAGAAAAAAAAAAAAAAAAAAAAGAAAGAGAGUUAUAUUUAAAGUUAGUAUGUGUGAAAUAAAUAAGGACGAGAGGUAAGGGUUUUAGUCGAGUCCCCUUAAUUAUGUUGGUUCACUUUACACCAAAGGAAGUUUGUGAAUUCUUUUCUAAUUGAUUCUAAAUGGCUUAGACUCUGUGGUGGGAUUGGUUGGAACUUUUGAAAAAAUGUUCUAGUUUUUUAAAUUUGCUAUGGAUUGCAACUUUGAAGAUGAAAAUUUUUGUCAGUUAAUUUUAGCUAGUUGUCUAGUUUGUUAAGUUUUUAUUUUUUGUUUGAGUCUUGUUUUCCUUGAGGACAAGCAAAAAGCUAAGUUUGGGGGUAUUUGAUGAGUAGAUUUUAUAUUAUAUAUUUUACCCUA